rnacentral:rRNA from 1 species
UAGGGAAUCUUCCACAAUGGGCGGAAAGCCUGAUGGAGCAACGCCGCGUGUGUGAUGAAGGGUUUCGGCUCGUAAAACACUGUUGUAAGAGAAGAAUGACAUUGAGAGUAACUGUUCAAUGUGUGACGGUAUCUUACCAGAAAGGAACGGCUAAAUACGCGCCAG